GACUAUCAUCCAUCUUAACACGGAUAACUCUGACAAACUUGGCUUAUCAAUCUCGACAUGCGCUCUUUGGCCCUCGGUCAAUUACGCUUUCCAGUAAAGGUCCAAACCAGAAUUUGGCAUCCCCUUUAAGGACGAUCGUAAACUAACGUGACCUUAAUGUUAACACGAAAGUACCAUGGUCUAAUCCUUGACCUACAAUGUCCUGGGCGAUCUGAGUGAACACAUCCUUCACACCAAGCCAAACUAUUUGAGAAACCAUCGCUCCAUCACUUAACGGCUAAACGACAACCUACGAUUUGUCUAAAAACGUCGUGUGACUAUUAAGAGAAUAAUUAUCGUAUAGCCCACAGUCGAAAAUCAUAUGAUAAAUUCUUCGUAACAAAACUCAGUCCUAACAACCAAACGGUUAGCAGAAAACCUAAACUUGUCGACAAUCGACCAAGUUCAAUACGUUUCACCGAUAACUUUAAAGCCCGCUACGUAUUACCCGUAAAAUGCGGCAUGUAAGGAAAACUCGUAACAGAGCUCCUAGAGCUAUACAAAACAUCCUCAAAUGUACACGAAAUAGAUCAGCCAACACCUCA
rnacentral:lncRNA from 1 species